GACGGACGCUGGCGGCGUGCUUAACACAUGCCAGUCGAACGGAAAGGCUCCAGCUUGCUGGAGUACUCGAGUGGCGAACGGGUGAGUAACACGUGGGUAAUCUGCCCUGCACUCUGGGAUAAGCCUGGGAAACUGGGUUUAAUACUGGAUAUGACCUUUCUCCUUAUGGGGUUUGGUGGAAAGUUUUUCGGUGUAGGAUGAGCCCGCGGCCUAUCAGCUUGUUGGUGGGGUGAUGGCCUACCAAGGCGACGACGGGUAGCCGGCCUGAGAGGGUGAUCGGCCACAUUGGGACUGAGAUACGGCCCAGACUCCUACGGGAGGCAGCAGUGGGGAAUAUUGCACAAUGGGCGGAAGCCUGAUGCAGCGACGCCGCGUGAGGGAUGACGGCCUUCGGGUUGUAAACCUCUUUCAGCAGGGACGAAGCGUAAGUGACGGUACCUGCAGAAGAAGCACCGGCUAACUAUGUG
rnacentral:rRNA from 1 species